AGGCAGACUCUUAAUGACUGAGCCACCCAGGCGCCCAUGGGUCGUUAUUUUUAUCGUGUUUCCACUUACCUUAGCUUUUGAUCAUUGUAGCAGGAAGAUGGGUCUUACAGAAUAGCAGUGGAUUAUUAUAAAUUUAAUCAAGUAGCAUCUCUAAUUGUAUCUGCUCUUCUAGAGUAUGCAGACAUCAAAAUCCCUAUCUUCAUGUUCCUUCUGUUCAAUUUCCUGGAUCUGUACAAAAACCUACUCAAUGGAUCCCUUAAAAACGCCAUCUCAUAUCUCGCUGAUCCUCCAUAUGACAAAAAGAAGCAUGUUACACUAGAUACCUUGG